rnacentral:miRNA from 1 species
ACCUCAGCAGUGAGAUACUCCAGAAUUGCAGCACUGUACACUGCAGCAGUGGCACCAACCCUCCCAUGGCUGGUAGUACGAGUCUUCAAGUGUCUGUGGAUACGGCCCACUGGAAACUGAAACAGAAACUGUCUUAAGUGCAAAGUACUGAAGAAUCUUAAAUUUUCAAUAUAAAAUUUAAU